rnacentral:rRNA from 1 species
GAUGAACGCUAGCUACAGGCUUAACACAUGCAAGUCGAGGGGCAGCAUGAACUUAGCUUGCUAAGUUUGAUGGCGACCGGCGCACGGGUGAGUAACACGUAUCCAACCUGCCGAUGACUCGGGGAUAGCCUUUCGAAAGAAAGAUUAAUACCCGAUGGCAUAGUUCUUCCGCAUGGUAGGACUAUUAAAGAAUUUCGGUCAUCGAUGGGGAUGCGUUCCAUUAGCUUGUUGGCGGGGUAACGGCCCACCAAGGCGUCGAUGGGUAGGGGUUCUGAGAGGAAGGUCCCCCACAUUGGAACUGAGACACGGUCCAA